rnacentral:lncRNA from 1 species
AUUUCGGUGUCCCAUGCCUCGCCGCGCUUUGUGCGCUUUCGCCAAAUUAAGCCAUCAUUAAAAUAACAACCCCGUUCACCCGCUCGUUUGGCGCGCGGCGAGACCGCACUCGCCCAUUCACAACCGCCACCUCUCAUGUUGUAUCGUCGCAAAUCGAUGUAGACGCGAUUGACAAUAGUCUUACACCGCGAAGCCGUUCUUUUGAUUAUGCUCUGUAUUCAUCGGAGUAAAUAAUGUAGUCAUAUUCCGUGCUACUCCUUUUCAAUAAGCAUCUUUCAUAAGAAGCAUCAAAGCUCGCACUAAAACAAAGAUUCGCAGCCGUAUCAGCGCCGCCUCGCCACGCAUGCAUGGUGCAUCUUUAUUAUGUUUCUUGUUCUCCCGGACAACAAACAUCGUAUCCACGUGUGCUUUCUGUUUUAGCAUAAUAGCACUGGGAAAACGUUCUCGCUCAAAAUCGCGAAGACGCGAUCAUACUUACGAGGAUGAUUAUUAUGUGUCUUCCAAAGAGAAUCGAGGAUAUAGAUCUCCGAGGUCAGAGCGUUCACGUGGGAGCUCCCGCAGACGUUUUCGAGAACCUUCCAUUGAACAUUCACGCUCAUUGGAUCGUCAGCGGACUUAUAACCUUGAAGAUGGACACCGAGGCGAUCAGAGAUUCACCAACUGAAGUUGUGGAGAAUUCCGGCAUUGACCAGGGUAAUUUAUAUGUUAUAUAUCAGGACUACGAGCCAUUACCACGAGUUUGACCUUGUCCAACGAUCAUUUCAUGAUCGCAAAGCUGUCCAAAGCACGCCAAAGAUAAAUGACAUACUUCAGUCUCGGACUACGAACUAUUACUACGAGUUUGGUCCUGUCCACCGAUCAUUCAAUGAUCGCGAGACUGCCCACGGAGACACGCUCAAGGGUUUGGCGCACUUCAGCUUCGAAUUAAGAACCAUUAUGUAUGAUCCUGUUCACCGAUCCUUCAGUAAUCGCGAGACUAUCCACGGAGUCACGCUCAAAAGAUUGCAUGAUGUUUUCUUUUAAAAGUACUCCAUGAAAACGAACCAGAGAGGCCAUAUAUUUCGUCGGAGCCAGUCGGAUUCAGAACACUUGCUGUGUUCAAAAUGGAUUUGAUGGACUCCAAUCGAUGGUGCUGCCAUGGGCUCAACUGUCCAUGAUUUAAUUACAAAAACUUGGUCUUCUAUAUUUAAUAGCGGUUUGCCAAAAGAAACGAAUCUUAUUCUACGCAAAAGUAUCCAGUUCCGCAGAAUUUAUCGUUAGUUAACCCCUACACUCAACACAGAGGUAAAGUUUAUGUCAGUUGACUUCAGUUCAGAGAGAUGAAUACCAAUUCAUCACUCAAGGUAUAAUCGAAGCAGUUAUAACUGCCCAAGCAUAUCUGGUAUCGGACUUUUGAAACCGGAGGAACAAUGGGAUAGCAAGCGCAUUUUUGAGUUAGCAAGUGAUACAGGUCCAAAAUUGCUAAUUAUCUUGAAUGCAAUAGGAUACAAAAUUCUUUUCUCCUCCUCCUCGAUCAUAUUUACAGGAACCACUGUCGAGCAAGUCGGAACGCCCUCUCUGUGAAGCAGACUGCCUUCUUAAGAAGGAUGCCAUCCAAUGUUGAUUUUGUUCAGAUCAAUAUUUUUUGUCAUACUUUUUGAUAGACAAGGCAUCCGGUGAGAAGAGGUUUAUCUUGAAUCUCAAACCUCUUAAUGAAUCUAUUUUUGUACCUCAUUUCAAGAUGGAGGAUCUAAUGAUGGUUACCCGAUUGAUGUCUUCAGAUUUCAUAGCAUCGAUCGAUUUGAAAGAUUCCUAUUUGUUGCUGCCAAUUCACGUCUCACACCAUAAGUACCUACGUUUUUCAUUUCAGGAAGAUAUCUUCGAAAGGAUUUUGGUCUAUCAGUUACCUAAAUGACUUCUUACUGUUCGGAGACACCGCCGCAAACAUAAAAAAAUCUCCAAUAAGUAAUUUUGCAGAAUUCGUGAUCUUGUAAGUCUAAUAGAAACACUAAAUUCUAUUUGCCGAACAGUUACUUAUGGAUCAAUACAUUACAUUACAUUACAUACAUUCAUUAGAUACAUUCGAGAUUUUGAGAGACAGAAGUUCCUCGCUUGUAUAGAAUCCAAUAAUGAUUAUGACGCUCGUAUAAUACUAUCUACGUCACUUCAGGAUUUUAAGUGGCGGCUGAACAAGUUAUGCUCACCAUCGAUUGCAAGACCGUUACUAAAACGAAAGUUUUCUCAUGUAAUCUUUUCUGAUGCUUCACCUUCAGGUUAGGGUGCAUCUAUAGGGAGAUUAUCAGGCAAGCAUUUCGCCAGAAGGAAUUUCCAGAGGAAUUGAUAGAGAUAACCUUGGUACCUCUUGUUAAUUCAACUCUAGAUUAAUAUAAUAAACCUAUCAAGCUCUGGUGGUUUUUCUGCAACGAACGCAAUAUCGACUGGUUUCAGCCUAGUAUAUCCCCAGUGAAAAGGGAUUGUGCAAGAUGACAACAAGAUGCCGGCAAGAUAAGAAGGAGAUGACGAUGACAAAAAAGCGCAAAAUAUCCCAAUGUUGCUGUUGAUCGUCACGAUGUUUCCUCUCUCUAAUUAGUCGGCCGCCAUGUGACAUUCGUCAUGUUAGUCCCACGUUAUUCAAAUGUGGUAUUCAUAUUAAGUUGAAAGAGUCGCUAUGUAAAUUGUCUAUUAUAGAAUAAAGAUCCAGUUAAAUUAA